rnacentral:lncRNA from 1 species
UGAGCGAGGAGCCACGGGCCUUCGGUCUCAUCCGUGUGUGGAACAUGUCCAGGGGUCCACUGCCCACUGGUGUCCCCAGAGGGGUGACACGAGGGCAGGAAAACACAGCAGCUUGUGCCCAGAUCCCAAAAAAUAUGGAAUAACCCCUUCAAGGAUCUUCUGUGCUCCUCUAGGGACAGGAAAACACUGCUUGGUUCAGCUUUGCAUCCUCACAACACUUCCUUCAGCACAUCCUUUGGGACAGGUGGGAUUAAUAUCCAACAGUUCCUUUUAA